rnacentral:snoRNA from 1 species
AGGCUACAUAGAGAAACCCUGUCUCAAAAAAAAACCCAAACAAAAGGAAAACCUGAAUAGAGUUCCCCAAGGGGCCCUGGUGUGCAACAGGAGCCUCUUUAGUAGUGUAUACAGCUGGUUGCCUAUAUGGGUUGUCCUAAGGGACCUUGGAGGCAAUU